AAGCAGGGGAUCGUAAGACCUUGUGCUUUUGGAGCGGCCGAUGCCUGAUUAGCUAGUUGGUGGGGUAAAGGCCUACCAAGGCAACGAUCAGUAGUUGGUCUGAGAGGACGACCAGCCACACUGGGACUGAGACACGGCCCAGACUCCUACGGGAGGCAGCAGUGGGGAAUUUUGGACAAUGGGCGCAAGCCUGAUCCAGCAAUGCCGCGUGAGUGAAGAAGGCCUUCGGGUUGUAAAGCUCUUUCAGUCGAGAAGAAAAGAUUGUGACGAAUAAUCACAAUUUAUGACGGUAUCGACAGAAGAAGCACCGGCUAACUACGUGCCAGCAGCCGCGGUAAUACGUAGGGUGCAAGCGUUAAUCGGAAUUACUGGGCGUAAAGGGUGCGCAGGCGGCUUUGUAAGUCAGAUGUGAAAUCCCCGGGCUUAACCUGGGAAUUGCGUUUGAAACUACAAAGCUAGA
rnacentral:rRNA from 1 species